rnacentral:tRNA from 1 species
GCAGUGGUAGUUUAGUGGUAGAAUUCUUACCUUUCAUGCAGGAGACCUGGAUUUGAUUUCUGGCCAAUGUA